rnacentral:rRNA from 1 species
UACGGAGGGAGCUAGCGUUGUUCGGAAUUACUGGGCGUAAAGCGCGCGUAGGCGGUUACUCAAGUCAGAGGUGAAAGCCCGGGGCUCAACCCCGGAACUGCCUUUGAAACUAGGUGACUAGAAUCUUGGAGAGGUCAGUGGAAUUCCGAGUGUAGAGGUGAAAUUCGUAGAUAUUCGGAAGAACACCAGUGGCGAAGGCGACUCACUGGACACGUAUUGACGCUGAGGUGCGAAAGCGUGGGGAGCAAACAGG